AGCCGCGGUAUUUUGACCGUGCAAAGGUAGCAUAAUCAUUAGUCUCUUAAUUAGAGGCUGGAAUGAAUGGUUUGACGAGAAAUUAACUGUCUCUUAAUAAAUUUUAAAAUUUAACUUUUGAGUUAAAAGGCUUAAAUUUUUCUUUAGGACGAGAAGACCCUAUAGAGCUUAACAUUUAAAUUAAAUAUUUUUUUAAGAUGGUCUUUUUAUAUUUAAUGGUAAUGUUUUGUUGGGGUGACAUGAAGAAUUAAUAAACUCUUUAUUAUAAAGUCAUUAAUUUAUGUUUAUUUUGAUCCAUAAUUUAUGAUCAUAAGAUCAAGUUACCUUAGGGAUAACAGCGUAAUUGUUUUUCAGAGCUCAUAUUGACAAAGCAGAUUGCGACCUCGAUGUUGGAUUAAGAAAAAUUUUGGGUGCAGUAGCUCAAUGAUUAGGUCUGUUCGACCUUUAAAUUCUUACG
rnacentral:rRNA from 1 species